GACGAACGCUGGCGGCGUGCUUAACACAUGCCAGUCGAACGGAAAGGCCCUGCUUUUGUGGGGUGCUCGAGUGGCGAACGGGUGAGUAACACGUGAGUAACCUGCCCUUGACUUUGGGAUAACUUCAGGAAACUGGGGCUAAUACCGGAUAGGAGCUCCUGCUGCAUGGUGGGGGUUGGAAAGUUUCGGCGGUUGGGGAUGGACUCGCGGCUUAUCAGCUUGUUGGUGGGGUAGUGGCUUACCAAGGCUUUGACGGGUAGCCGGCCUGGGAGGGUGACCGGCCACAUUGGGACUGAGAUACGGCCCAGAGGCCUACGGGGGGCAGCAGGGGGGAAUAUUGCACAAUGGGCGGAAGCCUGAUGCAGCAACGCCGCGUGCGGGAUGACGGCCUUCGGGUUGUAAACCGCUUUCGCCUGUGACGAAGCGUGAGUGACGGUAAUGGGUAAAGAAGCACCGGCUAACUACGUG
rnacentral:rRNA from 1 species